GCCAACGGCGUCCUCGGAACUGGCGGGGUCGGAGCGCAGCUCUCGCGGCCGGGACGCGGCUCGGGGACCCUGAUUCUUACUUUGCCGGAACAAACUGCUUGUCUUGAGUGGAAACGUUGGGAGCUGACACCAUCGGAUUUGAGCUCCAGAAAACUGAAGAAGAAGGAACAUUGCCCAACUCCAAUUCCUUUUGGUAUUUUCUAUGUUUUUGACUGCUGGCUUACGCCCAAAUUUCUUGGAAUCUGGGGUAUUUGAUAAUUUUGGCAUCUGUAGGCCUCACUCUUCUUCACUCCACCCCUCUCCUGAUGUUCAGGACACAUGGAAGGGACUCGGGAAAUGUUUGGUGACCAUUGCAGAAAGAGUCCAUGAAGGUGAAUCUCAGUUCAGCCGCCACCUUUUCUGAGAAGUCCUCCUGAUCAUUCCCUUGAAUGUAACCCCUUUCCAGUUUGAUUUUCUUCUUAACACUUGUCACCAGCAGAAACUCUCAUUUAUACAUUCCGUUACCCGUUUUUCUUCGGUGUCUGGAACUACACUGGGAACUCUCUGAGGCAGAGGCUGGGUAUGUCUUGGCCACUGCUGCAUCCUCUGCAGUUUGAGCUGUGCUGUCCAGUACGGCAGCCACUGGCCACAUGUGUCUGUUAAGCUCCUGUAAUGUGGCUGCUGGAAUUGAGAUGUGCUGUGGGUGUAACCGCACACCAGAAUUUGAAGCCUUAACGUGAAAACAUGUUAACAUAAUAUAUGUGUAUAUACAUAUAUAUGUGUAUAUAUGUAUAUCUUAAUAAUUGCAAUGUGAAAA